rnacentral:rRNA from 1 species
AGCGAACGCUGGCGGCAGGCCUAACACAUGCAAGUCGAACGGAUCCUUCGGGAUUAGUGGCGGACGGGUGAGGAACACGUGGGAACGUGCCUUUUGGUUCGGAACAACUCAGGGAAACUUGAGCUAAUACCGGAUGUGCCCUUCGGGGGAAAGAUUUAUCGCCAUUAGAGCGGCCCGCGUCUGAUUAGCUAGUUGGUGGGGUAAAGGCUCACCAAGGCUACGAUCAGUAGCUGGUCUGAGAGGAUGAUCAGCCACACUGGGACUGAGACACGGCCCAGACUCCUACGGGAGGCAGCAGUGGGGAAUCUUGCGCAAUGGGCGAAAGCCUGACGCAGCCAUGCCGCGUGAAUGAUGAAGGUCUUAGGAUUGUAAAAUUCUUUUACCCGGGAUGAUAAUGACAGUACCGGGAGAAUAAGCCCCGGCUAACUCCGUGCCAGCAGCCGCGGUAAU